AACAGUUCAUGGUUGGGGAGGAGAUCUGCGGGGCUGUGGUCUCUGUCCGCUUCCAGGAGGACAUUAUUUCUAUAUGGAAUAAGACUGCCAGCGACCAAGCAACCACAGCCCGAAUCCGGGACACUCUUCGGCGCGUGCUUAACCUACCUCCCAACACCAUUAUGGAAUACAAAACUCACACCGACAGCAUCAAGAAAAGCUUACAAUCGUGCAGAUUCUUCAGGGAGAGAAGAAGAAACCCAAACUGCUCAUCAGAUUAGACUGCCCAUAGCCAGGAGUAAAGCAGG
rnacentral:lncRNA from 1 species